UCCAACGCCCAAACCAAAUCCCGCGAUUCCCGCACGGGAGCCCUCAUCCCGCGAUUCCCCGCAGGAGCCGCCUCGCCCGCUCGGAUCUGGUUGUUUCCGCAGCGGGGCGCCGCAUCCCUCAUCCGGCCGGAGAACGAAAGUUCGCCGUCGAUCCUCAUCUCACGAGAUCCGGGCCGGCCGGCGGUCGAGAUCCCAUCCCCGAGGCGUCCCGAUUUGGCUAUGCUCCGAUCUGCUCGCCAGAUGCCCUGAACCUCAACCACACAGUCUCCCGGUAGCGCCGCUCCUGCCCCCGCACGCCGCUCCAGCUUGCUACCCCACACCUCUCCCCGGCGCGACGCCCUUGAACUCCAUUUCUGUACUCCGGCGCAGCAAGGUUUCCCCGGGCUGCCUGAACCUGGCGCGGCCCUACUCGCAUGCGUGUACUGUGGCAAAGCAUCUCCUGCUCUAGGUGCCUGUACUCCCCGCGGUUGGUCGAGGCCAACACCGGAAUGCUUUUCCUAGACGUGGGCGUGGACCGCCGGAGACGGAGAGUGGUCACCAACCUGUGCCGGUGCCUGAAGAUUUUUGUUGUUGGAUUGUGGAUGUCCUACUUGCAUACCAGGUGUUUGUGUUAAAUUGUUAAUCCCAACAAUUUGGGAACAACACAAACCACGGCUGUAGCUGAAGAAAGCUUUAGGAGUCGAUGACUCAGCUCAUCGAGCUCCUCCAUGGAGUCGGUCGGUCGUUGAUAUUCUGACAGUGAUGCACAUGGCAUGGAGGAGUCCGCCUGUGUAUGUCUCCAGGCGGUGCAGGACUGGAUGAGGUAGAAUGGCUCCAUCCCUCUGAUCUUGGAGUUGAUAUGUUACUGGCUUUUAAAUUUGGGUUGCUCAUAUAGUCAUAUGUUAUUUGCUUGCCAUUGUUGUGUUUACAAAAUUCACCAAUUUAAUGUCCAACGAAGCUGGUUCAUAUACUUGGAAAUUGCUUGGAAUAUCAGCAAGGGAAUCAACAAGAAGGAGCACUAUAGCUUGGUCUGAAAUCUGUGGCAUGCAUGAAUUAUAAAGUAAAAGUGUUGGAUGCUCUGCUGCGCAUGAAUUGAAAAGAGGGAUCCAUGCUGUGAGCUAAAGUAAAAUCGGGAACAUUGCAGUCACUUGGAUGCCAGAUUGGAUGCCAGAUUGUGUCUCGCCGCGGAGCUUCCGCGACGCCGCCGAUGCCUACACCCACCCAGUGCUCUUGCUUGCCACGCUCUGCGGCGUCCCCGUCGCGCUUGUCUGCGCCACCGGUGGCGCCAGGUCUCCGCGGCUCAUGUGGGAUUCGGAAGACGGGGUGUCCUGGAGAGGUACCGCGCCGCCGCCAUCCCGCCGGAGACACGCGCGCAGCACACGCACCGGAGCUACCUCGAGGCCGAGCUGGGCAAGGGGACGGCGAAGCGGCCACGCUUGAGGGCCGCGGCUGACAAGAUGGCUGCUGUCGGCUUGCCCGCCGACGGGCCGGCUCGAGCUCGAUCAGCUCACGUCGCCGGCUGAUGAUGCCUUCCAAUGACUACGCCUUGGAGCCGGGGCACCUCGCGCUGGACAUUGGGCUACGAUGGCUUCCAGCCGCAGGCGAUGUCGUGCCACAGCGGGAGCAACGACCAAAGGGAGCCUACUCGAGGAAUUCCUGAUGCAACCGGAGCGCGGCCUCGAGUGCGUCAGCGGCGGCGGCGGCGGAGGAAGCUACUACGCGGGCGCCGUCGACGAGACGCAUGUGUUGGGCGCACAAAUUCCACCCGAGAUAAUUGAGGUAGAAGCAACAGUGCAGAUUGAUUAGUCUACAAACCAUGAUAAAGUUUUUCAGUAUCCCUAUUUAUUUGUAGUCAGACAAUGAAUUGUUCAGCCUUUGUAUCUUGCAGAGAAUUGAGGCAGGAGCAGGACAAGAGAUGGCAUCAAGCACUGAAGUCAAGUCAUCUGUUUCUAUGGAUGUCGAGAAAAGUAAGAAAGUAUCAGGAAAAAAUAAUAUGCCAGCCAGCAAGUAACCUGUUUCUACGGAUGAGGAGGAAAUGGAUCUCAACAUCGAAUCAACCAAUGUUGAUGAUUUUGAUAAUAGGCCUCUAAAAAAGGCCAAAAGUUCUAAAACAUGUGUUUCAGAUGAUCCAUUGUCAUCUUUUACCAUCUCCACUGCAUCUAUCGCUCCGAAAUGUUUGACUCUGUUAGUUUAGAAUUGAAUGUUAGUUUAGAAUUGAUGAAUGAAGAUCCAUUGCCUCCA